UCCGGAUUAGCUCAGUGGUAGAGUAGGUGACUGUUAAUCACUUGGUCGCUGGUUCGAGCCCAGCAUCCGGAGCCA
rnacentral:tRNA from 3 species